ACGGGAGGCAGCAGUGAGGAAUAUUGGUCAAUGGGCGGAAGCCUGAACCAGCCAAGUCGCGUGAAGGAUGAAGGUAUUAUGUAUUGUAAACUUCUUUAGUCGCAGAGAAAUAAGGACCUCGUGAGGUCUGAUGCUAGUAUGCGAAGAACAAGGAUCGGCUAACUCCGUGCCAGCAGCCGCGGUAAUACGGAGGAUCCGAGCGUUAUCCGGAUUUAUUGGGUUUAAAGGGUGCGCAGGCGGUCUUUUAAGUCAGUGGUUAAAUCGUGGAGCUCAACUCCAUCCCGCCAUUGAUACUGGGAGACUUGAUUGCGGUCGAGGUUGGCGGAAUUCGUCGUGUAGCGGUGAAAUGCAUAGAUAUGACGAAGAACACCGAUUGCGUAGGCAGCUGACCAGGCCGUAAAUGACGCUCAUGCACGAAAGUGCGGGGAUCGAACAGGAUUAGAUACCCUGGUA
rnacentral:rRNA from 1 species